CGCUCCGGCGGCGGGGCAGGCGCUGCCCUUACAGCUCAGGGAGCUGCCUGGAGGCUCUCGGGCUCCAUCUCCUGGUGAGCCCGAGGUGCAGCGGCCCUGUAGGGCUUGGUCGUUAAUCUACGCUUUCUGACCUGCUGGGCGCUGUCGGUGAUUCACCGAGAGGUGGGUGAUGUAAGCGUGCCCGGUCAGCACCGACAGGCUGUUUCUCUUUGUUACAGAAGAGGCUGAAACACUUCACAUCGGACUUGAUCUCCAUUACUUGGCAAGCCACUUCUUGUUUGGAUUUCAAAGCCGCAGUAUCGGCUGUGAAAGCUUCCCUUUGCUUCCUCUGGACCGUUCUGGACCCGUGAUGGGAUGAGAGGCCUCUCUUCACCCCUGCCAGAAGCACAGCAGCAGAGCAGUGCAGGCUGAGACACUUCCCCUAACCCCAUCGUGUGAUGUCCCAGCCACCACAGCCUGGUCUCUGGUACCAGCAGCAGGCCGAAGCUAGAAGGAAGGAGAGAAAAGAUGGUCUCCAGAGCAAGAUUUUCCUCUCAAAGAAGAGAAGGAAAAGAAAAACAGAUUCCGCAGCGCAGGAUGUCCUCCUGCCGUCCUUGUGUCUGAUGUUAGAAACCUGCUCCAGCCCUUCGCAGGCGACUUUCUUCUCUCAUCCCACAAACAACAAAAGAGGCUUUAAAGAUAAAAGGGAGAGGAAGCCAGCUCCUCUCUUUAAUAGCCUGGGGACAGGACGCCGUCCCCUCGCACAGCAGUUUGACUGCAGAAGGCUGGGGAUGAUUGAGUUGAGCUCGCACAAGCGACGCUGCGUUCCCAUAGGGCAGCCCCAGGAGGACUCCGAGCGCUGUGCUGUGCUAAAACAGAUAUAAAAAACCCUCAAACAUGACCUGGAAUCAAUACGAUAUGAUUGUUCCCUCCUCCUGCUUCCCGCUGGGCAGCCGUCAGCGUGGCAGUAAAUGACCUUUGCAGUCACCUCUGCAGAGAUCCCCCUCCCUCCUGAGAGACAGUGGGCACUCUGCAGCUGUGGCUGCCUUUCCUAAGGCCGAGCAGCACAAACCUCACGUCCACACCUUUGUGUCUCCUGGCUUGUGCUGAACACAGAAUAUCCAGAAUCCUGUACAUUAAGCCAUGGUAGAGAUUUAAUCUGGAGAUUUUAAUUUUAAAUACUCCUUUCUUUCUCAGAGCAUUACAGCCCAGGUUGUUCUCAACAGCCAUCCUAAUUUUUCCUCUUUUAGAGAGGUGCUGGUGCCCCCUCUGUUCAUAGUAACUCCUGCAGCCUUAACACGUCUUUCUUCACCAAUGUGCUUUCUGAGAAGGCUGGGUGCUUGCUUAACACACACUGCACUCUAAGAUACAGAAGCCCAUAUUCAAAGCAAUUUUUGAAACAAACAAACAGAAUCCCCCUAUCCUUACGCAGUAAUUUACUCCUUGCUUCUUAGGCAUAACCCUCCUAGACCAGUAGUCUAACAUAAUAGAGAACGUGUUGUUACAUUGGUUAGGAACACUGUAAUUCUGCAACAGAACUGUGGCCCAUUCUUUACCUGG